rnacentral:rRNA from 1 species
CUAAGUGGCGGACGGGUGAGUAAUGUAUAGUUAAUCUGCCCUUUAGAGGGGGAUAACAGUUGGAAACGACUGCUAAUACCCCAUACUCCUUUCUACUUAAUGUAGAUUGGGAAACGUUUUUUCGCUAAAGGAUGAGACUAUAUGGUAUCAGGUAGUUGGUGGGGUAAGAGCCCACCAAGCCAAUGACGCCUAGCUGGUCUGAGAGGAUGAUCAGCCACACUGGAACUGAGACACGGUCCAG